rnacentral:misc_RNA from 1 species
GUCUUCCUCUCCCCCUUCCCAUACAUUCCCUUACUAACUUAUCACACUUUAUACUGGAGACAUGACGAAACCAUCUUAGUUGGCUCUUGCUUAUUUUGUCUUCAAUAUAUGUUAUAUGGAUUUUCUAAUGAAUGUGAUAAUUCUUAAUCUUAUCCAUAAUCAUUUAACCAUACAUCCAUCUUAAAAUUUGCAUUUCUGCCAUACCUUAGAUGCCCAAUAUUCACU